UUUUUCCUGCCACCGAAUACAUUAGCAUGGGAUAAUGGAAUAGGACCCUGACCUCCUAUUUUCAGUUGGUUUUGUUUACAGCGAGGUUAUAUCAGGGUAAUGAUUAAUAGGGAUAGUUGGGGGCAUUAAUAUUUAAUUGUCAGAGGUGAAAUUCUUGGAUUUAUGAAAGAUUAACUUCUGCGAAAGCGUUUGCCAAGGAUGUUUUCAUUAAUCAAGAACGAAAGUUAGGGGAUCGAAGACGAUCAGAUACCGUCGUAGUCUUAACCAUAAACGAUGCCGACCAGCGAUUAGGAGACGUUGAAUACAAAACACCGCCGUUAAUCCUUUCGGGGGUUAAUGGUUGGUGAAUGACUCCCCUAGC
rnacentral:rRNA from 1 species